rnacentral:rRNA from 1 species
AUUGAACGCUGGCGGCAUGCCUAACACAUGCAAGUCGAACGGUAACAGGCCUUCGGGCGCUGACGAGUGGCGGACGGGUGAGUAAUACGUAGGAAUCUGCCUUAUAGUGGGGGAUAACUUAGGGAAACUUAAGCUAAUACCGCAUACGCACUACGGUGGAAAGCAGGGGAUCGCAAGACCUUGCGCUAUUAGAUGAGCCUACGUCGGAUUAGCUAGUUGGUAGGGUAAAGGCCUACCAAGGCAACGAUCCGUAGCUGGUC